GAUGAACGCCGGCGGUGUGCCUAAUACAUGCAAGUCGUACGCACUGGCCCAACUGAUUGAUGGUGCUUGCACCUGAUUGACGAUGGAUCACCAGUGAGUGGCGGACGGGUGAGUAACACGUAGGUAACCUGCCCCAGAGCGGGGGAUAACAUUUGGAAACAGAUGCUAAUACCGCAUAACAACAAAAGCCACAUGGCUUUUGUUUGAAAGAUGGCUUUGGCUAUCACUCUGGGAUGGACCUGCGGUGCAUUAGCUAGUUGGUAAGGUAAUGGUUUACCAAGGCGAUGAUGCAUAGCCGAGUUGAGAGACUGAUCGGCCACAAUGGAACUGAGACACGGUCCAUACUCCUACGGGAGGCAGCAGUAGGGAAUCUUCCACAAUGGGCGCAAGCCUGAUGGAGCAACACCGCGUGAGUGAAGAAGGGUUUCGGCUCGUAAAGCUCUGUUGUUGGAGAAGAACGUGCGUGAGAGUAACUGUUCACGCAGUGACGGUAUCCAACCAGAAAGUCACGGCUAACUAC
rnacentral:rRNA from 1 species